GAUGAAGAACGCAGCGAAAUGCGAUACGUAAUGUGAAUUGCAGAUCUCUCAGUGAACCAUCGAAUUUUUGAACGCACAUAGCGCCCGCCGGUCAUUCCGGCGGGCAUGCCUGUCCGAGCGUCAUUUCAACCCUCAAGCCCCCGGGCUUGGUGUUGGGGAUCGGCGAGCCUCCGCGCCCGCCGUCCCCUAAAUCUAGUGGCGGUCUCGCUGUAGCUUCCUCUGCGUAGUAGCACACCUCGCACUGGGAAACAGCGCGGCCACGCCGUUAAACCCCCAACUUCUGAACGUUUGACCUCGGAUCAGGUAGGAAUACCCGCUGAACUUAAGCAUAUCAAUAAGCGGAGGA
rnacentral:misc_RNA from 1 species